CAUGAGAUGGACCAGCUCUUCCUUCCAAGGAGCUCAUAGUCUGGAAGUGGGGAAAGACCCCACAUCUUCAAAGGUGCUUCCUCUUCCUUUCCUGCCACUAGAGCUCCCUGUCCACCUUCUACCAUCUGUCAUUGGAGAAUUGUCUGUCUCACAGUAGAGAGCCCUCAGGCCUCCUGAGAGAAGGUUCCAGAGAAUGCCUACGAAAAUGUGAAGCUCAAG